ACUCAAAUGAAUAGACGGGGGCCCGCACAAGCGGUGGAGUAUGUGGUUUAAUUCGACGCAACGCGAAGAACCUUACCCAGCCUUGACGUCCCGCGAACCUCUCGGAAACGAGGGGGUGUCCUCGCAAGAGGAAGCGCGGAGGCAGGUGCUGCAUGGCUGUCGUCAGCUCGUGUCGUGAGAUGUUCGGUUAAGUCCGGCAACGAGCGCAACCCUUGCUUCCAGUUGCCAUCAUUCAGUUGGGAACUCUGGAGGGACUGCCAACGCCAAGUUGGAGGAAGGUGGGGAUGACGUCAAGUCAUCAUGGCCUUUAUGGUUGGGGCUACACACGUACUACAAUGGCGCCUACAAAGGGCUGCGAAAUCGUGAGAUGAAGCAAAUCCCAAAAAAGACGCCUCAGUUCGGAUUGCAGUCUGCAACUCGACUGCAUGAAGUCGGAAUCGCUAGUAAUCGCGGAUCAGAACGCCGCGGUGAAUACGUUCCCGGGCCUUGUACACACCGCCCGU
rnacentral:rRNA from 1 species